AUGCAUUCAAAGAGUGCGUAACAGCUCACUGGUCGAGUGGACAUGCGCCGACAAUACACGGGGCUAAGCUGGACACCGAAGCGGCGGGAUUUUGAUUUUCAGAAUCGGUAGGGGAGCUUCCCAUGGGCGGGGAAGCCGCCGGGCGACCGGCGGUGGAGCGCAUGGGAGUGAGAAUGCUGGCAUGAGUAGCGAGAGACGAGAGAGUAACUCGUCCGCCGUGAACCCGAGGUUUCCUGGGCAAGGCUAAUCCUCCCAGGGUCAGUCGGGGGCUAAGGCGAGGCCGGGAGGCGUAGCCGACGCGCAGCAGGCAGACAUUCCUGCACCGCGCACGCGGCGCUACGACCGACGGGGCGACGGAUGGGGGUGGCUCGGCGGGGUUCUGGACGUCCCCGUGAUGGAGCGCGGCCCGCGGACCAGGGAAAUCCGGUCCGCACGAGGGCGAGGCUCCGGACGAAGCACUUAAGCGAAGCGAGUGAGCCCGAGGUCCCUAGAAAAACCCCUAGGCAGGCGCGUGCGCGCCCGUACCGCAAACCGACACAGGUGGGUGGGUAGAACAUACCGAGGCGAUCGGGUCAACCAUGGUCAAGGAACUCGGCACAAUGGCCCCGUAACUUCGGGAGAAGGGGUGCCCGCGCGUACGUGAACGGACUUGCUCCGGGAGCGGAGGCGGGCCGCAGUGGAGAGGCCCAAGCGACUGUUUACCAAAAACACAGGACUCUGCAGAAGCCGCAAGGCGACGUAUAGGGUCUGACGCCUGCCCGGUGCCGGAAGGUCACGCGGAGGAGUUAGCCGCAAGGCGAAGCCCCGAAGCCAAGCCCCGGUAAACGGCGGCCGUAACUAUAACGGUCCUAAGGUAGCGAAAUUCCUUGUCGGGUAAGUUCCGACCUGCACGAAAGGCGCAACGACUUGGGCGCUGUCUCGACCAUGGACCCGGUGAAAUUGCACUGGUCGUGAAGAUGCGACUUACCCGCGGAAGGACGGAAAGACCCCGUGAACCUUCACUGCAGCUUGGCAUUGGCCGCUGGUCCCGCGUGUAGAGGAUAGGCAGGAGGCACAGAUCCGGAGGCGCCAGCCCCCGGGGAGCCGCCCUUGGAAUACUGCCCUCGCGCGACCGGCGUCCUAACCCGAGGCCGUCGACCGGCUCGGGGACCGUGCCAGGCGGGCAGUUUGACUGGGGCGGUCGCCUCCUAAAGGGUAACGGAGGCGCGCGAAGGUCCGCUCGGGACGGUCGGCAACCGUCCUUUUGAAUGCAAGAGUACAAGCGGGCUUGACUGCGAGGCCCACAAGCCGAGCAGGUGCGAAAGCAGGCUCUAGUGAUCCGGCGGCCCCGAGUGGGUGGGCCGUCGCUCAACGGAUAAAAGGUACUCCGGGGAUAACAGGCUGAUCUUGCCCAAGAGUCCACAUCGACGGCAAGGUUUGGCACCUCGAUGUCGGCUCAUCGCAUCCUGGGGCUGGAGCAGGUCCCAAGGGUUGGGCUGUUCGCCCAUUAAAGCGGUACGCGAGCUGGGUUCAGAACGUCGUGAGACAGUUCGGUCCCUAUCCUCCGUGGGCGCAGGAGAAUCGAUGGAGGCUGCCCCCAGUACGAGAGGACCGGGGUGGACGCACCUCCGGUGAACCGGUUGUCGACCAACGGCACGGCCGGGUAGCCGCGUGCGGCGCGGAUAACCGCUGAAGGCAUCUAAGCGGGAAGCCGUUCCAGGGAUUAGUUCUCCUUCCGGUAAGGGCCCAGGUAGACUACCUGGUCGAUAGACGGCAGGUGCAAGGACGGCGACGUCCUCAGCCGAGCCGCACUAAUCGCCCGAGCUCUUCCGGA
rnacentral:rRNA from 1 species